AGGCAGAUGCUGAGUCUGAUUGCUCAGCCAGCUCCGGGCCAAGGAGAGCCCCACCACUGGAGAACCCUUUAAGCAGGGAAGGGUCAUAGGACACCAUGAUUGGAUGACCACGUCAACUGCUGGACCCUGAUGGACUCACAAUGGAGGAUCUGAUAGGGGAUCGUCGCGGUUGCGGUUGUUGCAGACAUGACAUCACGGGUUGAUGAUGUGUUUUAUAGGCGUGCACUAUUAAACUGGUAAUACAUUUCAGAAUGCCACCGGGCUAUUUGAAGGCUGUGCUAUCUGACUUUGUAAUAGGCCAGGGCUCAAUGCUCUUUAGAGUUAUAUCCCAGGGCAAAUCC